rnacentral:rRNA from 1 species
CCUACGGGUGGCAGCCGUGCGGAAUAUUGGUCAAUGGGCGCGAGCCUGAACCAGCCAAGUAGCGUGAAGGAUGACUGCCCUACGGGUUGUAAACUUCUUUUAUAAAGGAAUACAGUGAGGCACGUGUGCCUUUUUGUAUGUACUUUCUGAAUAAGGAUCGGCUAACUCCGUGCCCGCAGCCGCGUUAAUACGGAGGAUCCGAGCGUUAUCCGGAUUUAUUGGGUUUAACGGGAGCGUAGAUGGGUUUUUAAGUCAGUUGUGAAAGUUUGCGGCUCAACCGUAAAAUUGCAAUUGAUACUGGCAGUCUUGAGUACAGUUGAGGUAGGCGGAAUUCGUGGUGUAGCGGUGAAAUGCUUAGAUAUCACGAAGAACUCCGAGUGCGAAGGCAGCUUACUAAACUGCCACUGACAUUGAUGCUCGAAAGUGUGGGUAUCAAACAGGAUUAGAUACCCUUGGAGUC